UUCCUGGUGGUCCAGUGGUUAGAACUCCACACUCCCAAUGCAUAGGGCCCAAGUUCAAUUCCUGGUCAGGGAA
rnacentral:tRNA from 1 species